UAAAUGGUAAUUCCAUUUUUAGUUCUUUGAGAAUUCUCCAAACUGCUUUCCACAAGGACUAAACUAAUUUGCAUUCCCACCAACAGUUGUCAUUGAUAACAUCUUAUCAGGAGACAGGGUUUGAGAGCAGACAACUGGUCUGACCAAAAUUUAUUAGGUGGGAAUUUCCUCAUCCUAAUAAUUAUUCACCAAUGACAGAAACACAGAAGGCAGAGCUGUUCUGAGGGGAAACGUGUGAAGUUCCAUUUUCAUAGGAAGCAUGAUUUACGUUUGCCUACUGUAAAUGUCAAGUUUGGCCAAUUUGGAUGGACUCUCCUAAAUCAUACCAACAGAGGCUGAGUCAAAUCAAUAAACAUUUCUUAAGAACCUACCAAGAGUAAUCCAUUAUGCUAGGCUCUGAUUACAAAGGUGAAAAUUAAAGAAUAGCUACCCUCAACUAGUUCACUAGUGAGGAAGAUAGCACAUGAACAACUUGGGAUUUUAUAAAGAAAGCACAACAUUUAACUUCUUUUUAAAAACUUACUAUGGAAUGAGGCAUAGGUGAUGAGAUUCAGGAAGACAUUUCAAAGAUUUAUUCACCACCAUAGACCCAGCUCCCAGCAACAACUGGCACAUUCCAGGCACAAAAUAAUUUAAAUAUAUACACAUAUCCAAAAUACAAGUAAAAUGGUCUUUAUUUAUAUAUAACAUGAUUGUGUACCUAGACAACCCAAAAUAAUCAAAACUGAACUAAUAAGGGAAUUUAGCAAAGUCACAGGAUGUAGGGCCAAUAUUUUAAAGUCUACUGAAUUUUGCUCUGGUGCAGUAGCUCACACCUGUAAUUCCAGCACUUUGGGAAGCUGGGACAGACUUGAGCCCAGGAGUUUGAGAUCAGCCUGGGAAACAUAAUGAGAUCCUGUCUCUAUUUAUUUUUAAAAAAUCUAUUGCACUUCUAUAUACUUUUCACAAUAAUUUGAAAAUUAUGUAGAAAUAUAUUUAAGAGAGACCGGGCACAGUGGCUCACGUCUGUAAUCCCAGCACUUUGGGAGGCCGAGGUGGAUGGAUCACUAGGUCAGGAGUUCGAGACCAGCCUGGCCAAUAUGAUGACACCCCAUCUCUACUAAAAUUACAAAAAUUAGCCGGAUGCGGUGGCAUGCUCCUGUAGUCCCAGCUACUCGGGAGGCUGAGGCAGAAGAAUCGCUUGAACCCAGGAGGCAGNNNNNNNNNNNNNNNNNNNNNNNNNNNNNNNNNNNNNNNNNNNNNNNNNNNNNNNNNNNNNNNNNNNGGAGACUCUGUCUCAAAAAAAAAAGAAAUAUAUUUAAGAGAACAUAAAUUGUAAAAUGCUUAGGAAUAAAUUGUUUAAGCAAUACGCAAAAUUGUUUACAUUGAAAACACUGCCAAGAGAUAUACCAUAUUCAUGGACUGGAAACUCAAUAUUGUUAAGAUACCAACCAUCAGGUGUGGUAGCUCAUGCCUGUAAUCCCAGCAGUUUGGCAGGCCAAGGCAGGAAGAUCACUUGAGGCGAGGAGUUCAAGACCUGCCUAGGCAACAGAGCAAGACCCCACCUCUAUAAAACAACAAAAACAACAGCAACAAAAACACCCCAAAUGCUAGAAUUAUAGGUGUGAGCCACUGCACCUGCAAAAAAAAUUUUCAAAUAAAAAAUUUAAAAGGAUACCUACUCUCUACAAACUGAUUUAUGGACUCAACAAAAUCUCCAUCAAAACACUGGUAGGCUUUUUUGUAUUAAUUGAUAAGCUGACUCUAAAAUUUGUAUGGCAAUGGAAAGCCAAAACCUAGAAUAGCCAAAACCAUCUUAAAGAAGGACAAAAUCGGAGUAGUUUAAGAUUUACUCUAAAGCCCCAGUAACUCAACAGUUUAAUAUUGGAGUACAGAGAAAUCAAUCAAUCAAUCAAACAGAAAAGAAAGUUCAGAAAUAGACUGUCACUUGAUAUUUGACAAAGGUGUCAAUACAAAGCAACAGGUUAAGGAAGGAGUUUUCAGUGAAUGUAAUUGGAGCAACUGAAUAUCUAUAAGAGAAAUAAAUGAGCCUUUGAUGCCUACCUGCCAUUACACACAAAAAUUGAAUUGAGAUGGAUCAUAGACCUAAAGUUGAAAGGUAAAACUCUAAAGUUUCCAGAACAAAGCAUGGGAGACUAUCUACACAACUCUGGGGCAGACAAAGAUAACUUGGACAAGACACAAAGGCAUUGCCAUAAAAGCAAAAACUGUACAUUGGAUUUCAUAAAAAUUAAAAAUCUCUCAUCAAAAGACACCAUUAAGAAAAUGAAACGGCAAGCCACAUAGAUUGUUAUGGCCUGAAUGUUUGCGUCCCUCCAAAUGUAUAUGUUGAAGCCUCAACCUCUAAUGUGAUGGUUGGUUUGGAGUUGGGGCCUCUGAGAAAUAAUUAAGUUUAGAUGAGGUCAUGAGGGUCAUGCCCUGAUAAUGGGAUUAGUACCCUUAGAAGAAGAGGAAGAGUAGGCACAGUGGUUUGCUCUUGUAAUCUCAGCUACUUGGGAGGCUGACACAGAGGAUCACAUGAGGCCAAAAGUUUGAGACCAGCUUGGGCAACUGAGCAAGACCCCAUCUCUAAAGAAAUAUAAACAAUUACCUAGGCAUGGGGGCACACAGCUGUAGUCUCAGCUACUCAGGAGUUUGAGGCAGAGGAUCACUUGAGCCCAGGAGUUUGAUCAUGCCACUGCACUCCAGCCUGGGUGACAGAGUGAGCACUCCAGCCUGGGUGACAGAGUGAGAUCCUAUCUCUUAAAAAAAAAAAAAAAGGAAGAGAUAUGAGUGCUCUCUCGCUCUCGCUCUCUCCCUCUCUCUUUUUCUCUC
rnacentral:lncRNA from 1 species